rnacentral:rRNA from 1 species
GAUGAACGCUGGCGGCGUGCUUAACACAUGCAAGUCGAGCGAACAGACGCGGAGCUUGUUGCUCUGACGUUAGGGGCGGACGGGUGAGUAACAAGUGGAUAAUCUCCUUAUCAGACUGGGAUAACUUCGGGAAAACGGAGCUAAUACCGGAUAAUAUACUGAACCGCAUGGUUCAUUAGUGAAAGACGGUUUUGCUGUCACUUAUAGAUGGGUCCGCGCCGCAUUAGCUAGUUGGUGAGGUAACGGCUUACCAAGGCAGCGAUGCGUAGCCGCCCUGAGAGGAGGGUCGGCCGCACUGGAACUGAUGCGCGAUCCAGACGCCUACGGGAGGCGGCAGUAGGGGAUCUUACGCAAUAGGCGGAAACUUGACGGAGCAGCGACGCGUAGGGGGUGAAGGUCUUCGGAGCGUAAAGAUCUGCUUUUGGGGGUGAACAAAGGUUGAAUUGACUGUGGGCGGCUUGACGGUACCUGGACAAGAAGCCCCGGCUAACUACGUG